UUGCAGCCAAUUAAGCCAACCGUGCUCCUUUCCCUGUGGGGGCCCGGUGUGCAAUGGCUGCAGACAGCAGCCUCCUCGGUGGUACGUGCAGCCUGUUGCCUGUACAGGUUGCCCUCAGGGACGCUGGAUUCGGCC
rnacentral:snoRNA from 1 species